ensembl:rRNA 5S_rRNA 5S ribosomal RNA
GUCUACAGCCCUACCACCCUGAAUGUGCCGGAUCUCAUCUGAUCUCAGAAGCUAAGCAGGGUCAGGCCUGGUUAGUACUUUGAUGGGAGAGAAGCAAUGUAACUGAGGGCU